rnacentral:lncRNA from 1 species
GACGGAGGAGCCAGCAAUCGGAGGCGAGCUUGGAACCGGAGGCGAGCGAGCACGUCGUCAGAGGAGGUUGGCAGUCGGCGGAGGUUGCAGUCGGCGGCGCUUGGAAACUUCAAUCAGAACAGACGCGUUCUGUUCUGAUUUGGGGUUUUUAAUAAACCCCAAAACUUACAUGGCGGAUUUCCGCCAUGUAAGUACACUUAAGUGCCGCCAUGUAAGGUGGAAAAGUCCGCCCAAUCGAAAUUUGGGCGGGCUUUUUCCGCCCGAGUCCCCGAAUACUUAA